rnacentral:misc_RNA from 1 species
GACAGAUGAAACCGUUAAGCGUUUGGAUCAAUCAUAAACCAAACCAGUAAAACAUCGGCGCUAUCACCGUCAACUAUAAUGCAACUACUAUAGGAAAUACCUCAUACUACAAUUUUCCUGAAUGAUAGAAAAUACAUGCAUCAUGGGAUGGCAAAGAAAGGAAAUUCCUAACAGGAAAUAGACAGCUUCAUAGACGCUCCAUUUGGAAUGAUGAUAAUGGCAGAACUGGGAAUAGACUUGCUACUGGAAAUGUGAGAUUUUGAACAAGAUCUCCAGGUUUCCAGUUUUCCAACAUUUGGAAACCAGCUUUGUUUGAACAUGUUUUCUAAUUUUCUAUUGGAAAUACAGAAGAAUACUGGAAAGUUAAACCAGCAAAAACUGUAUCCUACGGCUAAACAUGGCCCUGACGAACAGUUCCUCUGCUUCUCAAAGUGCAUUGCCCCCAUUAAAAGAUAGGAUAAUCUACAUCAGAUCAUCCCCGAGCUUAUAACUAAACCCCCGCCAACAUCAACAUCAUUUUGGUCCCCAUCUGUUUUCUCCUUUAAUUUCCCAAGCAGAUUUCACUUAUCUCAACAUAACGACCAUAGCUGGAUGUGAUUUAUUGGCAAGCUGUUGAUUUCAAGCUGUGCAAAGGUGCAGAUAACAUUAUAACAUAUACUGGGGGAAAAGGGAAAAUGAGGACUGAUCUCCUUGCCAUCCUUGUCAACAUCAUCUAGUGCAACCCCUGCUUUAUGUGCUUCUCGCAAUUCGAUAUCAUCAGUUUGACAAGCUUUACAGUUCAACACCUACAUUCUUGCGCAUACAACUUUUAAGCAUAUGAAAUCUAAAAAUGCAGAGUAGAAGCCUUAAACUGAGAAAUAAAUAUGGAAAAGAAUACGAGAGCCAAAAGAAUGGAGAUUUGGAGCUAUGGACUAUUGUGCUAAACAAAUCUCAAACACGUGCAAGAGAAGUCCAAAAGAGCAAGCAUAAUAAGAUACUUAACCAGAGAAUGCAAAAUAAUAAUUAAAAAAAAACUAAA